rnacentral:misc_RNA from 1 species
UGUAUUGUAUUGAUUGAUGGCGAUUGGCUUGGCGUCGUGUGAAUUAUAAACUGCUUUUAACAUUCAUUUAUUUAAGUCCUGGUUGAUGUUCUAAAGGUGAAAUGUCUCGUUACGGCGAUUGCAAAGUGUACGUAGGAGAUUUAGGAAAUAAUGCAAGUAAACCAGAGUUGGAAGAUGCAUUUUCUUAUUACGGCCCGUUGAGAAAUGUGUGGGUUGCUCGAAAUCCACCCGGCUUUGCUUUCGUUGAGUUUGAAGAUGCUCGUGAUGCUGAUGAUGCUGUUCGCGGCUUAGAUGGAAGAACAAUAUGCGGACGUCGGGCUCGUGUUGAAAUGUCAAAUGGGCGCGGUCACGGUGGCAGGGGCCCACCACCCAGAUCACGCCCACCAUCGCGACCCUACGAUGACCGCUGCUAUGACUGUGGUGAUCGCGGUCAUUACGCACGAGAUUGCUCCCGACGUCGUCGUCGCAGGUUAUCAUUGAGAAUGAACCCGUCAGUGUCUGCACUUCUUAUUGUCAACGCUACGUAGUUUUCACUCCGCUGCGUGUACUCUGCUUGAGUUGGCGGCAUCGGUAACUUCGCUCAGCGAACUACGUAGCUACACCCUACGUGCACACUCUACUCGUUGAAAACUACAUUGAGCACUCUGUACUCUCAGCGCUUCGCGACUAACGUCUAUUGUAAAUACUGCGUGAACUCCCCGCUCGAGGUCACGCCGCCGCUCCCGCUCGCCGCGCUCCGGGUCUCGAUCCCGCUCGCGCAGUCG